rnacentral:lncRNA from 1 species
ACACAAGCACCAAAGCAAUACACCUUCAGGUUCACUUGCCCCCUUAGCUCAACCGUAAUACUUAUCCGUUGAAAACUACACCACCUGGAUGAAAUCCACCAGAUGACCAAACCAAAAUAUGCAUUGAAGUCAAGGUAAAAGAAGUCGAUGUGAGAGUAAGCCGAUAUUAGCAUCAAUAUUAGCUGCAAGACAUCAAAUCGAAACUGAUAGCUCCAUGCUGAAGUCAUGCCCUGCUUGUCUUGUGAUGCAUAGGGCUAGGACAUAUGACGUACUCAUUCAUCUGAAGAACCAAGUCAGUGGGGAGCAAAAUUGCUUGAGAUUUCAGAGUAGGAACAGCUCAAAUAGUAUGGAAAGAAGUGUACACUACCAUAGCUGAAGAACCAAGUCAGCGGGGAGCAAAAUUGUUUGAGAUUUCAGAGUAGCAACAGCUCAAAUAGUAUGGAAAGAAGUGUAUUCUACCAUAACUUCUCAAAAUAGGAGGGGGAGCUCAUGUUGAAUCAGAGACAGAUCAAUCCCUCUAUCCAUAGUUACAACUCCAAAUCGAAAAGGAACCUGAUUAUCAGAAUUGCGCACAAAACCUGAAAGCAUGCUUGAUUCCCUCAAAUUUGCAUCUAGAGUGGAUCUCACCGUCUUAACAUGAAAUCAAAGGAUUGCAAACAAAAAACCCUCAUAUCAUAUAACAGAAAAUAAUCAAGGAUGACAACAUAAAAGAUAAACUAUACAAGGGACGAAAGCAACCUCGUGAACAUAACCAAG